UACAGAGGUCUCAAGCGUUGUUCGGAUUCAUUGGGCGUAAAGGGUGUGUAGGUGGCGCCGUAAGUCGGGUGUGAAAUUUCGGAGCUUAACUCCGAAACUGCAUUCGAUACUGCGGUGCUUGAGGACUGGAGAGGAGACUGGAAUUCAUGGUGUAGCAGUGAAAUGCGUAGAGAUCAUGAGGAAGACCAGUGGCGAAGGCGGGUCUCUGGACAGUUCCUGACACUGGAGACACGAAGGCCAGGGGAGCAAACGGG
rnacentral:rRNA from 1 species